rnacentral:piRNA from 1 species
UGGUUUUGAACGUAUCUCGUGCC